rnacentral:lncRNA from 1 species
GCAUAUGGAAGAUCCUAGGCUAGGGGUCAAAUUGGAGCUGCAGCUGCUGCCUUACACCACAGCCACAGCAAUGCCAGAUCUGAGCCACAUCUGUGACCUACACAACAGCUCAUGGCAAUGCCAGAUCCUUAACCUACUGAACAAGGCCAGGGAUCAAACCCACACCUUCAUGGAUAAUAGUUGGGUUUAUAACCCACUGAGCCACAAUGGGAACUCCUAGCUGUGUGAUUUUAGACAAAUCACUCUCUCUCUCUCUGGGCCUUAGUUUCCUCUUAUAAUAAGGCUGAGCUAGAGUACCAGUUGAUAAGCAUUUUUAUUAUUAACGUCUAAGCAUUUGACUUCUCUCUGCAAAUGCACUUUGUGUGCAGAAGGCCCAAAUAUGAUACAACCCAGCAAGAAAGUGUGUCAACAACCCAAUCUUUUGCACCCCAGAUCCAUGUCAGGGCUAAUGUUUUCUUACUCUAGUUGAAGGCAGAGAACCAAAUCCACCAGCCAGAGAUGCACCGCCUCUCAAGUAAGUGGAAAGUAACUGGGUGAUUUGCAGUGACCCACAGAAGCUCAUGCCUAACAGCUGCUCUAGCAAAAUGCUUCCCUGAGCAUUAGGUCCAUGUGCUGGCAGCUAUCUGAAAGCUCAGGGAUUGUCUGGGCCCCAAGGAGACCACUGCUGUUUCUAGAGAGUUCUGUAAGGACCCCAGGUCUUUGGAAGGACCAUCUAAGGGUGUUUUUCAGGGGAGUCAAGUUCCAGGUUUUGAUGCCCUGACCCCUCCAGCCUCAGCUCCAGCCCCUGACCCAGAGCUACAGCUUUGGGACCGCGGCAGAAAGUCAAGGCCGGCAGCGAAAGGCUGGGGGCAAGAGGAACACACACCACAGUGUGAAAUGUGAGGAAGGCUCCUCCGUGUCCCUUCCCGGCUGCGACAGGCGCCAUCUGGACUUCUGUGGAACUGGCUCAGCCUCCUCUGGCUGGAACUGGCGUGAUAAGGAUCAUUUUGUCUCCUUCAGGAGCAGGGCUGGAUGCCCCGCAGUUCUCUGCAUCCCUAGAGCCCAGGGACUGUGCCAUCUGAGUCCUGAGUUAUAACAGGCAGCUAACCUCUCGGAAUAAAGUUUGGGCCCUGUGCACCUGGGAUUCUACUUACACAGGGCUCAGGCUGACCCAAAACUCAGAGGAGGUGGGCACAGAGGGACUGGAGUCACGAGGAGGGCAAGACAGAUGCACAGGGCCCUUCAGGAGGAUGCCUGCCCAGCCCAAGGCUUCUCCUGGGACAGAAGCCGGCGUUCCACACCUCCCUGACUUUCCCGCCCAUCUGCAGGAUGGAGAGCCAGGGAUCUGGCUGAACGACCCAUUGGGGCCCAAGCCCCCACUCCCGCCUGGUCACAUCAGUCUUGGGGGAGGGGGAGGAGACCUGGGUGCAUGUCCCAGUUGGGUCGCUUUCUCAUUGCAAGGCUAGUCACAUGCCUUCCCUGGGUCUCAGGUUCACUUUCUUAGAGGGUAUUGGAUUAGCUACUUUUCGUCUCUGCCUGGCCUCUCAGUGUCUCUAGAUCUAGACUCUAAGAGCCUUGACAGGGUUCUGCUUCCAGAGCAAGAGGAAGGGAGUGAGCCACAACGGGGAGGGGUGUGGACCUUGGGAUCAGACUGCCGGAGGUUAAAUCCUGACUCUCCCUUCCUGACUGUUGGGAGACUCUCAGCCUCAGUUUUCAUGCUGGCAAAAUGGAGACAGUUACUCCAUAAUGCUAUCAUGAGGAAGGCAAGGGAGAAACCCCAUGAAGCCCAGGACCUGACAUGGGAAACUUUCAACAAUCCCUAGCUUAUUAUUUUGUGUUACUCUAGUCUACUACGGUGUCAAGAUGGUAGCAGAUAUUGGCUAAAAUUAUUUCCAGAUAGAAACAUCAUACCUUACCUACCACAGAUUCAACUAUCCUACAGGCCAGUCCACGUCCCCUGUAAAGGUCACUCAUUCAUUCAAUAGGAAUCAAUCAAUGUUCAGUGCAUUUCUUAGGUGGGGCAUCCGGGACUGGGGAUGCAAAGAUGUCAAGAUCUUACUUUGUUUCUUUUUGUCUUUUUAGGGCAAUGCCCACAGCAUUACAGGCUGGGGGUCCAAUUGGAGCUACAGCUGCCGGCCUACGCCACAGCCACAGUAACAUCAGAUCCGAGCCACGUCUGCAACCUACACCACAGCUCACGGCAAUGCUGGAUCCUUAACUCACUGAGUAAGGCCAGGGAUCAAACACUAGUCAGAUUCGUUACCACUGAGCCAUGACCGGAACUCUAAGUUUUGGGUUUUUUCACUUUUUUAAAUUUUUUGUCUUUUCUAGGGCCACUCCCACAGCAUAUGGAUGUUCCCAGGCUAGGGGUCCAAUAGGAGCUACAGCUGCCAGCCUACACCACAGCCACAGCAACACCAGAUCCUUAACCCCCUGAGCGAGGCCAGAGAUUGAACCCUCAACCUGGUUCCUGGUUGGAUUCAUUAACCACUGAGCCAUGACGGGAACUCUGACAGUUUAGUAUUUUGAAGAGAAGGAAAAACACAUACUUGUGAAGCAACGUAAAGCGAAUUUCAGGGCCUCCUAUGUUCCCCAGUGGUAACCAAUUUGCACAUCUGUGAUUAGUUCUGAUCAUUUUGUGCCAAGGACUGGAUCUAGGGCAUUUCAUGCCAGGCCUCACUCAGCCUCGUGAGGCAGUCACUGAUGUAAACCCCAUUUCACAGAAAAAGGAACUAGUCUUGGUGACAGUCAGGAACUUCUCAAAAGUCACACAGGUGGCAAGAGGCAGAGGUCUGUCCUCUCUCACAGCGCCCCACCAUCUCUGUUUGCUGGGGCUGCCUUUAUAAAGUACUACAGUUGGGUGACAUAAACAAGAGAAAUUGCUUAUCUCACAGUUCUGGAGGCUGGAAGUCCAAGGUCAAGGUGUCAGUGGGGGUGGUUUCCUCAGAGGCUGGGAGGAAGAAUCUGCUCUGUGCUGGGGAGGAGGGUCCCACGGUGCCCCUGCCACUCUGCCCAUUGGGAUGGACCAGCUGGCACGAUGUGGGGAGCAGGCAGAGAUGGCAGAUCACCACUGCAUGUCAGAGCGUAACUGCAACAAGGAUGGCAAAGCAAUGGCUCCUUACCGCACUGAGUGAAGCAUUUGGUGUGCAAACCUCUUUGCUGUGCACAGCAACCCUAAGGAUAGGCGUUACCUUGUCAUUUCCUAGAAGAAAAACCCUGGAUUCCUAGAGAUCAGGUUCUUGUCCAGAGCCACGGACCCCGAGGCUUCACCAACACAGGGUCUGGCAUUUAUAAGAUAUUGGCCAGUAUCAUUUUACUACAUGCCUCCUUUCCCAUGGAUCUUUCGGGUUAAAAUAACACCCUUUCCCCCUCACCUCUCUUCUGGUUGCUUUGGAACCCUGCCUGGGCCUGAUUAGCUCUUAGCCAGGGGCAGUGGAUGAAGCUGGUGAGUUCCAAGGACAGUAGUAGCCACAGGCGGUGUGCCUUUGGAACAAAGCUGGGCGGGGCCUUGGAAGGGGAAGCCAGGGAAGCCGGCCCACAAGGGCCCGCCCUGUGCGGCUUCCCUCCCUGAGCUGUAGGACCUGCACACGCUCCGCUCCCUGAGCAGCAAUGGAAGUGAGCUCAAGGUUUGUUCUGGAGGUUGCUCUUGACAUUGCUGUAGAAAACGCCAUUGUUUUAAUUGUCCCAGAAAGUGGGCUGGGACAGCCUUUUCCCAGGGGUAAGUCCUUGAGUAGAGGCAGGGCCGGGGCUGGAGGGACCCAAGCCAGGGCCCUCUGGCUGCCUCUUGGGCUCUCUAAAUGUUUUUUUUCUGAUUAUAAAAGUUACUUUACCAGUGAUUAUUUUUCAAAAUCUACAAAAACGUGUAAAAUACAAAGCAACAGUUCUCACAAUCCUAGCCAUGGGUAUCCAGCUUUCCCCAGUUUUUCUAUUCACAAACAUUAUAUACAAAUAGCAUCAAAAAAAGUAUCAUUUCCUCCUCCAUCUGCUUUUGCCACUUAAUGAUAUGGGCACUUCAUCUUCCGUCUAUAAAGAAUGCCAUUCUAUUUAAAGGCCGUAUAGAGUUUGAUUGUUUCACUACAUGAAAAAGCAUAACUUAUUUAACUAGUUGUAUAGUCUUUUAUGUCGUUUCCUAUUUGUAAUUCUUACUAACCACAAUGAAAUAAAAAUUCUUGUUUCAAUUAUUCCAUUCCUUUGUCUUCUUGGAAUUAAGUCUUAUAAGUGUAGUUGCUAUAUAUCUGGAAAAAUGAAAACUGUAAUUUGAAAAGAUACAUGCACCCCAAUAUUCACUGCAGCACUAUUUAUAACAGCAAAGACAUGGAAGAAACUUAAAUGUCCGCUAAUACAGGAAUGGAUAAAGAUGUGGU